rnacentral:snoRNA from 1 species
GAUGAAUGAUGGCAAAAUGUUUUGGUCCCAAAUGAUAAAUAGUGAUUAUACCAUUACAUUUGUUCAGAAGC